AAAUUGAAGAGUUUGAUCAUGGCUCAGAUUGAACGCUGGCGGCAGGCCUAACACAUGCAAGUCGAACGGUAGCACAGAGAGCUUGCUCUCGGGUGACGAGUGGCGGACGGGUGAGUAAUGUCUGGGAAACUGCCUGAUGGAGGGGGAUAACUACUGGAAACGGUGGCUAAUACCGCAUAACGUCGCAAGACCAAAGAGGGGGACCUUCGGGCCUCUUGCCAUCAGAUGUGCCCAGAUGGGAUUAGCUUGUUGGUGAGGUAACGGCUCACCAAGGCGACGAUCCCUAGCUGGUCUGAGAGGAUGACCAGCCACACUGGAACUGAGACACGGUCCAGACUCCUACGGGAGGCAGCAGUGGGGAAUAUUGCACAAUGGGCGCAAGCCUGAUGCAGCCAUGCCGCGUGUAUGAAGAAGGCCUUCGGGUUGUAAAGUACUUUCAGCGGGGAGGAAGGUGUUGUGGUUAAUAACCGCAGCAAUUGACGUUACCCGCAGAAGAAGCACCGGCUAACUCCGUGCCAGCAGCCGCGGUAAUACGGAGGGUGCAAGCGUUAAUCGGAAUUACUGGGCGUAAAGCGCACGCAGGCGGUCUGUCAAGUCGGAUGUGAAAUCCCCGGGCUCAACCUGGGAACUGCAUUCGAAACUGGCAGGCUUGAGUCUUGUAGAGGGGGGUAGAAUUCCAGGUGUAGCGGUGAAAUGCGUAGAGAUCUGGAGGAAUACCGGUGGCGAAGGCGGCCCCCUGGACAAAGACUGACGCUCAGGUGCGAAAGCGUGGGGAGCAAACAGGAUUAGAUACCCUGGUAGUCCACGCCGUAAACGAUGUCUACUUGGAGGUUGUGCCCUUGAGGCGUGGCUUCCGGAGCUAACGCGUUAAGUAGACCGCCUGGGGAGUACGGCCGCAAGGUUAAAACUCAAAUGAAUUGACGGGGGCCCGCACAAGCGGUGGAGCAUGUGGUUUAAUUCGAUGCAACGCGAAGAACCUUACCUGGUCUUGACAUCCACGGAAGUUUUCAGAGAUGAGAAUGUGCCUUCGGGAACCGUGAGACAGGUGCUGCAUGGCUGUCGUCAGCUCGUGUUGUGAAAUGUUGGGUUAAGUCCCGCAACGAGCGCAACCCUUAUCCUUUGUUGCCAGCGAUUAGGUCGGGAACUCAAAGGAGACUGCCAGUGAUAAACUGGAGGAAGGUGGGGAUGACGUCAAGUCAUCAUGGCCCUUACGACCAGGGCUACACACGUGCUACAAUGGCGCAUACAAAGAGAAGCGACCUCGCGAGAGCAAGCGGACCUCAUAAAGUGCGUCGUAGUCCGGAUUGGAGUCUGCAACUCGACUCCAUGAAGUCGGAAUCGCUAGUAAUCGUGGAUCAGAAUGCCACGGUGAAUACGUUCCCGGGCCUUGUACACACCGCCCGUCACACCAUGGGAGUGGGUUGCAAAAGAAGUAGGUAGCUUAACCUUCGGGAGGGCGCUUACCACUUUGUGAUUCAUGACUGGGGUGAAGUCGUAACAAGGUAACCGUAGGGGAACCUGCGGUUGGAUCACCUCCUUACCUUAAAGAA
rnacentral:rRNA from 1 species